rnacentral:rRNA from 1 species
GUGGGGAAUCUUCCGCAAUGGACGAAAGUCUGACGGAGCAACGCCGCGUGAGUGAUGAAGGUCUUCGGAUUGUAAAGCUCUGUUAAUCGGGACGAAAGAGCCUAGUGUGAAUAAUGCUAGGAAGUGACGGUACCGGAAUAGAAAGCCACGGCUAACUACGUGCCAGCAGCCGCGGUAAUACGUAGGUGGCAAGCGUUGUCCGGAAUUAUUGGGCGUAAAGCGCGCGCAGGCGGAUCUGCCAGUCUGUCUUAAAAGUUCGGGGCUUAACCCCGUGAUGGGAUGGAAACUACAGAUCUAGAGUAUCGGAGAGGAAAGUGGAAUUCCUAGUGUAGCGGUGGAAUGCGUAGAUAUUAGGAAGAACACCAGUGGCGAAGGCGACUUUCUGGACGAAAACUGACGCUGAGGCGCGAAAGCCAGGGGAGCGAACGGGAUUAGAAACCCCGGUAGUCC